rnacentral:lncRNA from 1 species
GAGCUUCCCCUGAAGAUUGGAGGGGAUGAGUCAGGGGCAAGGAAGGAUUAACAGAUUCUGCCUCAAGUCCUGGUGAACCAACUCCUCUCCCCAAGACAGACACAUACUAGUGAAAUAAAUUGGAUUUAAAUCAUCACCUGAGGCAAUCCUGAAAGAGAAAAGCAGUCCUAGAAAAGAGUGGAGGAAAAGAGGACAGCCCCAUUCUCUUUGUGACCACGAAGACUGCCGCCAUGUGGUUGGGAGCCACGUAACUUCUUUUAGUGCCAGCUGAGAUUCUUCUGCCCUGGAACUAGUUCCUCCGAGUUAUUGCCAGGCCUGGAGAUUGAAUUCCUGCAGCUGGAAGGUGGGGAAAGAAUAAACCAAGGAAAGGGGAACUGCAAAAGAAAAGCUUUC